rnacentral:lncRNA from 1 species
AAAAUUUUCUUCAGUUGUCCUCAUGUCAGGAAACCUAUACUUUUCCUUAGAGGUCAUCUGGUCAGUAGAAAGCUUCUCAGUAAUCCUCGAGAAUAUAUGAGGAUGAAGCUAAGAUAUAAAUUUCUAUAUUCCUAAAUUCAACAUUUGCUACUAAACUUUUCCACUUCUAUCUUUUCUGAGAAUGAAUUUUGAAAAGAGAGAGAUUGAGUUUUUUAAAAAAAGUAGUUUGAAAGGUAAUCAAAUGUAAUCUUAUGUACUUUGCAGAUUUUACUUUAGUUGAUUUUGGCCAGGGUUCAGGACUCUCUAAGUUAUGUAGUUUUCUUCAGGUGGUAUAUUUUCUUUCUUAAAAAUAUAUCUUUAAAUAAAUUUAUUUAUUCAACUUUGUCUAUAGUUCAAGCACCAUUCUCUACAAGUUAUGAAAUUAUUAAACUUUCCUCUUGUUAGCUUUAGUGAUCAAGAGAUUAAUGUUGAUCUUUUUUUGUGUGAUUGGUAGCUAAUACCCUCAACCUAUGCAAAGUUAUUAUGAGAUUAUAUUCUUUAGUUCAAGUAACUAACCAACUGCCUGCAUUGGAAAAACAUUUUUUUUUCAUUCUGAACAAGGCAAGGACACACAUUAUUUAAAUAGAUAAAUGAUAAUUACUUGAAUUAUCAGGAAAUAACUAAAUAAAAUUAUUUUGUGUUUAAUGUGUUAUGGUUAUGUUGGACCAAGCCUAUUAUAUUAAAGAUAGCAUAUUUCGUAACCAACAUAUUUUAAGAAACCACUGGUUCAGAGUGUCAUACACAGUCAUUUCUUUUUGCAAGAAACAUUCUAUUCCAUCUCCAUAAGAACAAAUAAUCCUUGGGCUCCUUCUCAUGCAUAGCAAUGGCUAAUUAAUCACAAGACAUAACCCAGCUUUUUGUAGAUGAAAGCUGAAGCUAUUUGCCCUUGCUGAAGAUUUAUUUGAAACAAUGGCACAGAGAGCAAAGAUGAGAAGAGACAAUUCCAUCUUGAGAAGGCUUCUUCUUGAUGGGCUUCUCAGAAAAACAGUGUUUAGGGAGGACCUUUCAUCUUUUUAUGGUAACUAUUCAAUAAUGUGUAAAAUGAUAUUUCAUUGUCAUUAUAUUUGGCAUUUCCCUGUUAUUGAUGCCUUUUUCCCUCUAUACUUAGUGACC